rnacentral:lncRNA from 1 species
AACCACAACAACUUGGUCAAACACCUUCAUAGCCCAAUAAACAUGCAACUAGCUUAACAGACACGCAAAUAGCUUGACAAUAAUAAAAACACAAUUCUACACUCAUAAAAAUAGCUCAACAAACAAAGAAACAGCUGGAUAACCAUAAGCAACAACUCAACUAGGGUCAAAAACCCCCAGGCUGACCUCUAGAACAACAAAAUCGAGUUCCAAAACCUCCAAACUGAGGUAUCAAAACUAUUGGUCAAAUAACCCAGUCUAACAGCCCAACCUAGCCAACUAACACCCCAACUACUUAGCCCGAC